CUCUAAGAACCCUAUCCAACAAUUACAUGUGCCUCAGGAUUGUUUGCAGUCUACGCAUUGCAGAUGUUUUCAAAGUACCACGUACUGUAUGAACAUUAAUAUCAAUACAAAGCUAAGAAGACAUCCCCCAGGAAGCAGAUAGUGCUAAGUGAACCGGGUCGACCACUGCACAAAGAAGUAAUCCGAGAGAUAGUAGAGGAUCUUUCCGGAGAGGGAGAGGGUCUGGACUCGGCAGAUGCUCUCCACGUAGACGAUGAGGACCUUCUUCAUCCCCGCGGCCCCCAGGAGCAGCCCUGCCACGCAUAGGGGGACACACGUCCCUGGGCCGUUGCACAGCACCUGAAACAACAACACGGAGCCGUGAACACAGGCGUGUUUGGACAGCGCGGAGGUCACUGCGGCUCACGCAUCCCGGAACGAGGGAGACGGGCAGGGCCUCGCCGAUUCCACAAACGAAACGCACAGGCCCUAGAUA